AGAUGGCAGAGUGCUUGUUCGGCAAGUGAAAGGUCCCGGGUUCGAGCCCCGGUCGAGGCACGCAGCGAAAAACCUCAUCCACGACUCUUUCUCUCGUUGGAAGAAAAAACGUUACAUUCAGGCUUCUUUCACUCUUAUCUUUCUGAGCAGCGAUUUAUUGUAUUGUGGAUAAAUAAAACAGUGCCCUUUAUGCUCUGACCCCUCCCCCACACACCCCACCAUAAGUAAAUGAAAACCAUUUUCUUAUCGCCAUUGUACCCCAAACCUUAACGAGUAGUUGUUUCGCGACGCACGUGAUGAAAUUUAUAUGUAGAAAAUAUGACUCUUUCAUACCCCUAUUAUUUGACAAAAGAAAAAAGUAUUUAGGAAAUACAAACGCAUUGUUUCAAUGCAAAAAAUCAACGUAUUAAGAAUAAAAAAAUCACAAUCAAUGAUGCAUCGCAUGUUAAAAGGUGGUUUAUUCGUAUCAGAAAUCGGUUACAGUUUAUGGUUCAAAUCAGACCCCAAUACAUGUAUAUCGAGUUACAGCAAUUACAUAUGUUUUAGAUCUAUCUAUGUAAGUAAAUUUAGCCAGAAAGUUCCUCGAUAGCUCAGAUGGUAGAGCAUUCACCCGAAAAUUGAAAGGUCCCGGGUUCGAGCCCCGGUCGAGGCACGCAGCGAAAAACCUCAUCCACGACUCCUACUCUCGUUGCAAGAAAAAACGUUACAUUCAGGCUUGUUUCACUUCUUAUCUUUCUGAGCAGCGAUUUAUUGUAAUGUGGAUAAAUGAAACAGUGCUCUUUCUGCUCUGUCCCCUCCCCCACACACCACACCUAAGUAUAUGAAAACCAUUUUCUUAUCACCAUUGUACCCCACACCUUAACGAAUAGUUGUUUCGCGAGGCACGUGAUGAUGAAAUUUAUAUGUAGAAAAUAUGACUGUUCGUACCCCUAUUAUUUGACAAAAGAAAAAAGUAUUUAGGAAAUACAAACGCAUUGUUUCAAUGCAAAAAAACAAAGUAUUAAGAAUAAAAAAAUCACAAUUAGUUGUAUAGACGGAAUGUUAAAAGGUGGUUUAUUCGUAUCAGAUAUCGGUUACAGUUUAUGGUGCAAAUCGGACCCCAAUAACAUGUACAUCGAGUUACAGCAAUUACAAAUGUUUUAGAUCUAUCUAUGUAAGUAAAUUUAGGCAGAAAGUUCCUCGAUAGCUCAGAUGGUAGAGCAUUCACCCGAAAAUUGAAAGGUCCCGGGUUCGAGCCCCGGUCGAGGCACGCAGCGAAAAACCUCAUCCACGACUCCUACUCUCGUUGCAAGAAAAAACGUUACAUUCAGGCUUGUUUCACUUCUUAUCUUUCUGAGCAGCGAUUUAUUGUAAUGUGGAUAAAUGAAACAGUGCUCUUUCUGCUCUGUCCCCUCCCCCACACACCCCAUCUAAGUAUAUUAAAACCAUUUUCUUAUCACCAUUGUACCCCACACCUUAACGAGUAGUUGUUUCGCGACGCACGUGAUGAAAUUUAUAUGUAGAAAAUAUGACUGUUCGUACCCCUAUUAUUUGACAAAAGAAAAAAGUAUUUAGGAAAUACAAACGCAUUGUUUCAAUGCAAAAAAUCAACGUAUUAAGAAUAAAAAAAUCACAAUAAAUGAUGCAUUGCAUGUUAAAAGGUGGUUUAUUCGUAUCAGAAAUCGGUUACAGUUUAUGGUUCAAAUCAGACCCCAAUACAUGUAUAUCGAGUUACAGCAAUUACAUAUGUUUUAGAUCUAUCUAUGUAAGUAAAUUUAGCCAGAAAGUUCCUCGAUAGCUCAGAUGGUAGAGCAUUCACCCGAAAAUUGAAAGGUCCCGGGUUCGAGCCCCGGUCGAGGAACGGCGAAACACAACCCCCCCACAUCUCGCACCCCGCCCCAAUAAAAAUGUUGUAGAGUUUCAGGUUUUCUUUCACACUAUCUUCUCAAUGUAUCAACGCGAUUCGUAUAUGAGUUUAGUCGCGGAAAAAUUUAACAGAGCUCUUCUUUUCUGCUUCCCAUCCUGCAAUUUAUAACUAAUUUUCCUAUCCCCAUUGUACAUCACCUUAAAUUAGUAGUUUUGUCGCAACGCACGUUACAAAAUUAUUAUGAAAAAAAUGAUAAUUCCUUAUCCCUUAUCUCUCUGACAAAAGAAAAAAGGAUUUGGAGAAUACGAACGCUUUAAAUCAACGCACAAAAUCAACUUAUUAAGAAUAAAAAAAUCAUAGUUUAUCACAGCCAUCGUAUAUAAGAGACGUUUAUUCGUAUCAGAAAUCGAUUAUUCUUGAUGGUGCAAAUUGGACCCAAUACCCAUUUAAUCUCGAGUUACAUCAAUCACAGACCUUCAGAAAUGUCUGUAUGUAAAUUUAGCCGGAAAUUUCCUCUGUAGCUCAGAUGGUAGAGCAUUCACCCGAAUAUCUUUGUAAGCAUCAA